AAAUCGGCUAUUUCUGUAAUAAAUUCUAGCCUGUAUUUAGGAGGUUCCUAUUCCUUCAAAUGGAGCUUCUGAAUGUGCAAGGAGAGAUGGUGAUUGGUUGCUGCGUAGCUUUACAUAACAUUAGAAUCCUGUAUUUCUAUCAUUUACCUAUCUUCUGUAAUCACAGUUCUUCAAUUACAUGAUACAAAAUCCUAUUUCACAUCAUCUGGUAUUGGUGUCUUCCUAGCUGUGAUCUAUCGUCUGCAGAAAUCAGUCACCAACAGGAUUCUAUCAGAUGGUUUAGAGGCUACUUUAGGCAUUAACGAAUGUUCGGAAAGGAAGGCUAAAGCUAACGACUCCAAUGGAGAUAACAAGCACAGAAAUGAGGACAACGUCCGCAACUUAUUUUCGAUAAAUUUGGUUGGGGACAUAGUAUAAAUAGAGUUGUACCCGAUGAAGCUACUACCACACAUGCAUAUAACAUACCAAAGCCACUAGGUUUCACUAGCCAAUCAUUAUAUAUAUAUAUAUUUGCCGUUGCCUUGACUAAUUCAGUGAAAUACAAGGUAUAGAAAUGCAAUUUACUACGAGGUCAUUUAGCAUGCAAUUCGUAUCAUUCGCAGAAAUGAAGGUUUCCUUGGUCAGUACAAAAGACUUUGAACAACUUUGUUAGUAUGUCUCGUGCUUUGGUUCCUUGUCUGGCUAGAUAUGUUUACCUCAACACAGAAAUUUUCCCGUCGCUCCAUUUGUCUUUUAUUUUCUUUUACUUUUUAAUUUCUAAUCUCUGAGAUGCUCUGCAAGUUAUAGGGUGUUUCACUCGGUAUAGCCAUGAGUUUUUCUGUUUGAGACCUUGAGAGCUUAUUAGGAUUCUCAAAGGCCAAAUGAUUCUAUUGCUAUGGUCAGCCUUGCUUGUGGCAGCCAAUCUGGGAUUGCUUCAUGAACACUUGAGUUUAUUUUACAAGAAGAAAGACGUUUACAAAUUCUCCUGGGUGAGUGGUGCAUUUUUGAAGAAAGAUUGAAGGGGGUAGCUUUGUUAUUAUUACUGAUUCAAUAUCUCAUCCCUUUUACGAGUGAAUACUUUCCCUGUUUGGAGCUGUUAAAAUUCAUUUCAAAUUUUAUUUGUACAACUCGUUUAAGAUAAUAUGUUUUUGAUACCAAUGCCUAGAUUUUACUAUUA